rnacentral:rRNA from 1 species
GUCCAGACUCCUACGGGAGGCAGCAGUGGGGAAUAUUGCACAAUGGGGGAAACCCUGAUGCAGCAACGCCGCGUGAGUGAAGAAGUAUUUCGGUAUGUAAAGCUCUAUCAGCAGGGAAGAGAAUGACGGUACCUGACUAAGAAGCCCCGGCUAACUACGUGCCAGCAGCCGCGGUAAUACGUAGGGGGCGAGCGUUAUCCGGAUUCACUGGGUGUAAAGGGAGCGUAGACGGCCAAGCAAGCCAGGGGUGAAAGCCCGGGGCCCAACCCCGGGACUGCCCUUGGAACUGCAUGGCUGGAGUGCGGGAGGGGCAGGCGGAAUUCCUAGUGUAGCGGUGAAAUGCGUAGAUAUUAGGAGGAACACCAGUGGCGAAGGCGGCCUGCUGGACUGCAACUGACGUUGAGGCUCGAAGGCGUGGGGAGCAAACAGGAUUAGAUACCCCAGUA